CGCCUCCAAGGAGAGAAAAGUGCUUUUGCGUCCUUUCUGGCAAAAGAUAGACCAUCUGGUUUGUGCAGAACUAUUUAUAAUACAGAAAAAUUACAGAAUUCUAGCCCAAGUCCAAUAGUCCACUAUCCAACGGUAUGUUCGACACUUAAUAUCACCCCUCAGCGUUGCCGCUUGAGUGCUGGCCAGAGAAUAUCCUGAAGAGUCCAC
rnacentral:lncRNA from 1 species